AUACGUAGGGGGCGAGCGUUGUCCGGAAUGAUUGGGCGUAAAGGGCGCGUAGGCGGCCCGGUAAGUCUGGAGUGAAAGUCCUGUUUUUAAGAUGGGAAUUGCUUUGGAUACUGUCGGGCUUGAGUGCAGGAGAGGUCAGUGGAAUUCCCAGUGUAGCGGUGAAAUGCGUAGAGAUUGGGAGGAACACCAGUGGCAAAGGCGACUUACUGGACUGUAACUGGCGCUGAGGCGCGAAAUCGUGGGGAGCAAACAGGAUGAGAUGCCCUGGUAGUCCACGCUGUAAACGAUGAAUGCUAGGUGGAUGGGGUAUCGACCCCUUCUGUGCCGCAGUCAACACAAUAAGCAUUCCGCCUGGGGAGUACGGCCGCAAGGUUGAAACUCAAAUGAAUUGACGGGG
rnacentral:rRNA from 1 species